GAAAGUCAUGUGCAAUGAAAAAUGCAAGCACGAUUUGGGGGGGGGGGAUUUUUGUCUAUUGUAACAAGGAAUAAGUAUCUACUCCAU
rnacentral:ncRNA from 1 species